rnacentral:rRNA from 1 species
GACGAACGCUGGCGGCGUGCUUAACACAUGCAAGUCGAACGGAAAGGCCCUGCUUUUGUGGGGUGCUCGAGUGGCGAACGGGUGAGUAACACGUGAGUAACCUGCCCUUGACUUUGGGAUAACUUCAGGAAACUGGGGCUAAUACCGGAUAGGAGCUCCUGCUGCAUGGUGGGGGUGGGAAGGUUCGGCGGUUGGGGGUGGACUCGCGGCUUAUCAGCUUGUUGGUGGGGUAGUGGCUUACCAAGGCUUUGACGGGUAGCCGGCCUGAGAGGGUGACCGGCCACAUUGGGACUGAGAUACGGCCCAGACUCCUACGGGAGGCAGCAGUGGGGAAUAUUGCACAAUGGGCGGAAGCCUGAUGCAGCAACGCCGCGUGCGGGAUGACGGCCUUCGGGUUGUAAACCGCUUUCGCCUGUGACGAAGCGUGAGUGACGGUAAUGGGUAAAGAAGCACCGGCUAACUACGUG